rnacentral:other from 1 species
GGCUCCCUGCUGUACUCGUGAUAGUUGGCUGAGUCUUGAGCCAACACCCGUGAUGCGGGCGCUGACAUAGGGCAGUGGACUGCCACUCUUAACUGAGAGGCGCGAAGCCGCCCUGAAGUGCCCCCUCUUACGACGGGUUCAUAGACUUGUCACUACACGGUACUGCGGGGUUUUG